GAUGAACGCUGGCGGCGUGCCUAAUACAUGCAAGUCGAGCGAACGGACGAGGCGCUUGCUUCUCUGACGUUAGCGGCGGACGGGUGAGUAACACGUGUAUCACCUACCUAUCAGACUGGGAUCACUUCGGGACACCGGAGCUUAUCCCGGAUGAUAUCUUGAACCGCAUGGUUCAAAAGUGAAAGACGGUCUUGCUGUCACUUAUAGAUGGAUCCGCGCUGCAUUAGCUAGUUGGUAAGGUAACGGCUUAUCAAGGCAACGAUGCAUAGCCGACCUGAGAGGGUGAUCGGCCACACGGGAACUGAGACACGGACCAGACGCCUACGGGAGGCAGCAGUAGGGAAUCGUCCGCAAUGGGGGAAAGCCUGACGGAGCAACGCCGCGUGAGUGAUGAAGGUCUUCGGAUCGUAAAACUCUGUUAUUAGGGAAGAACAGAUGUGUAAGUAACUGUGCACAUCUUGACGGUACCUAAUCAGAAAGCCACGGCUAACUACGUG
rnacentral:rRNA from 1 species